ACGCUCGACACCUACGGGGGCAGCAGUGGGGAAUAUUGCACAAUGGGGGAAACCCUGAUGCAGCGACGCCGCGUGAGCGAAGAAGUAUUUCGGUAUGUAAAGCUCUAUCAGCAGGGAAGAAACUGACGGUACCUGACUAAGAAGCACCGGCUAAAUACGUGCAGCAGCCGCGGUAAUCUGAGCGGGCUGGCAAGGC
rnacentral:rRNA from 1 species